AUACCUUUCUCGGCCUUUUGGCUAAGAUCAAGUGUAGUAUCUGUUCUUAUCAGUUUAAUAUCUGAUAUGUGGGCCAUGUGCCCACUUUGAUAUUAAAUUUAUUUUUUUGUGGGGGACGACCCACCACAGUGGCUUGCUACUGGGGUCCUCAUGCGUCGCCCAGGCGUUGCACUACUGCCUGGGCCUGGCGCACCCCAA
rnacentral:snRNA from 1 species